UACGUAGGGGGCGAGCGUUGUCCGGAUUCAUUGGGCGUAAAGAGCUCGUAGGCGGUUUGGCAAGUCGGGUGUGAAACCUCUGGGCUCAACUCAGAGAGGCCACUCGAUACUGCUAUGACUAGAGUUCGGUAGGGGAGACUGGAAUUCCUGGUGUAGCGGUGAAAUGCGCAGAUAUCAGGAGGAACACCGGUGGCGAAGGCGGGUCUCUGGGCCGAUACUGACGCUGAGGAGCGAAAGCGUGGGGAGCGAACAGG
rnacentral:rRNA from 1 species